GGAUUGUGGCUUAGUGGUAUAGUGCUUGCCUGGCAUGUGUGAGGCACUGGGUUCAAUUCUCAGCACCA
rnacentral:tRNA from 1 species